rnacentral:snRNA from 1 species
AUGCUCUGCUUUCUCUUCAUCACACGAGCUAAUCUUUCGCCUUUUACUAAAGAUUACCGUGGAGAGGAACAUUCCAAUGAGCCUAUAAAUAAUUUUUGGAAUCAUCACCUGAUGGU